GGAGAGGUGGCUGAGUGGCUAAAAGCGUCCUCCUGCUAAGAGGAAGCGGAUACUUAAUAUCCGUCACAGGUUCAAAUCCUGUCCUCUCCGCC
rnacentral:tRNA from 1 species